GUUUUAUUUAUGGCUUUAUUAUACAUCUUGUUGCUUGUGAAUUCACAACAAUUGCUAAUGGAGCUAUAAAGGGUUGAAAGAACAAGGGACCAUUGUUAAGGCUUUAGAAGAACUGAGAUGGUUUUCAAAUUACUAGAAAAGUAGUAGGAAGUAGUUAAGUGUAGUGACACAGACCUGUAAUCUCAGCACUGUAAUCUCAGGCCAAGACAAGAGGAUCUCAAAUUUGAGCCUAGACUGGGCAGCUUAGUGACUUAGCAAGACCUUCUCUCCAAGCAAAAAAUUAAAAAGGGCCUGGGUUGUAGCCCAGUAUGCAGGUUCUGGGUUCAAUCCCCAGUACCACCCCCUCCCCUCAAAAAAGUGGUAGAAAGAAAGAGGAAAAUGGAAAAUAUUACAUGAAAAUAUGCAAGCCAGCAGAAGAAUAGUGGACAGAGAAAUAAUGUUGAGAGAAUGUUGAGACCAGGCAAAUUCUGAUGCCUGUUCAAUGAGACCAGUUUGUCUGAGACCUUGAAGAGGUGAUGUCAUGGCCUUCUGUGUAGAGGGUAUAUAUACAUUAUCAGAGGGUUGGCUAUAAUACAGUCUUAAGUUCUUCCAAAUGAUGGUAGUAGUACUUGGUUUUAACUCUGGAAAAGUCAUAGCUCAAUUUCAACAACCCUAACGGGUUAAUCUUGGUAGAAAAUUAAGAGUAAGAUGAAGUAAAUAGCUUGCUUGAGAUUAAACACUAUUCUUUUUUGUUUCACCAGAUUGAUAUGUUUCCCUAACACUUAAGUGCUUUUGCUUUGUUCCUUGACUCUGGGUAACAUCAUGAAAUAUGAUCCAUCAAAAUACUGCCACAACUUAAAGAAGAUAAGGGAGGAUUUCACAAAUAGUAUUCCUAUAACUAGCCUCACUUGGGAAUUGGAAGGAGGCAAUGACCCUAUGAGUAAGAAACGGCAAGGAGAGUUCUCUGACUGUCAUGAUCCUCUCAAGAAGAUCAUGAAAGUACAAAAGAGCCAGGGUUCCACUGUGAGUCCAGGGACCAGUUGGGUAAUGGAGAAUAACAUAUUACCACGGCAACAAGCUGAACAAAAAACACCUCCUGAUUCCAUUGCUUUUUCUAAAUCACACCCUGUACUUGAUUCUGAUGCUCAAAAACUUAAAAAUAUACUUUGUCAGACUUCUAACUUGGAAACUGUCAGGAAGAGAAAUAGCAUGUCUGAUGAUGAUAUUGAUUCUGAAGAUGAAUUAAGAAUGAUGAUUGCAAAAGAGGAAAAUUUACAGAGAACCUCAUGGUCCUACAUCAGUAACUCUGAAAAUGAUCCCUUUGAAGUUGUACGGGAUGAUUUCAAGUUGGAUGUUCAUAAACUUCAUUCUUUAUCACGUGUGUGUAUGAAUAAUGUCUCUCGCCAUGUUAGUGACAGUAUUAUGGGAAAUGACUGUGAGUAUGAUUCAGGUGAUACAGAUGAACUCAUUGCAAUGAAAAAAAACAUCAGUAAGGUAAAAAACAGCGCAGAAUUUUCUCAAACAGAAAAACCUAUAAGCAAGAAAUCUUUCAAAAAGAAAGAGCUUUCCGAUCAUUGUUAUAAAGUACAAAAAAGAAAAAACAAAGAAUCAGCCGUUAAUCAUGGAGUGAAGCCUCUGUCUGAUUCUAGCAGCAGUGACAAUGAGGAGUCUGAAAGAGAUGAAGAAUAUAAAGCCAUGAUGAAAAACUGCCCCCGAAUUAAUCUCACUCUGGCUGAUUUGGGAGAGCUGGCUGGCAGUGAUAUGGGGGUUCCAGAAAAUACUGAGAGCAGUGGCCCACAGAGUACCACAAGCUGCAAGUUUGAUAGAGCUUCCAAGAGCCCCAAGGCUCCCCGUAGCAUCUACACAGGCAAACAGUGCAUUUGUCCUGAGGAGAUUCUGGCUUCCCUUUUAAGGGAAGAAAACAUGCACGGUAAACAAACCACAGGAAGGAUGGACCUCCACAGGACAAGCCGACACACAUCAUCUUUGGUUCUGACAGUGAAAGUGAAAUGGAGGAGGCAUCCACUCAGGAGCCAAACCUGCCAGGAGAAGAACUUGUCAAAGUAA
rnacentral:lncRNA from 1 species